UACGUAGGGUGCGAGCGUUGUCCGGAAUUAUUGGGCGUAAAGGGCUCGUAGGCGGUUUGUCGCGUCGGGAGUGAAAACACCGGGCUUAACUCGGUGCUUGCUUUCGAUACGGGCAGACUAGAGGUAUGCAGGGGAGAACGGAAUUCCUGGUGUAGCGGUGAAAUGCGCAGAUAUCAGGAGGAACACCGGUGGCGAAGGCGGUUCUCUGGGCAUUAACUGACGCUGAGGAGCGAAAGCGUGGGGAGCGAACAGG
rnacentral:rRNA from 1 species